UACGUAGGGUGCAAGCGUUGUCCGGAAUUAUUGGGCGUAAAGAGCUCGUAGGCGGUUUGUCGCGUCGAAUGUGAAAACCCGGGGCUCAACCCCGGGCCUGCAUUCGAUACGGGCAGACUAGAGUUCGGUAGGGGAGUCUGGAAUUCCUGGUGUAGCGGUGAAAUGCGCAGAUAUCGGGAGGAACACCAGUAGCGAAGGCGGCUCGCUGGGCCACACCGUGACGCUGAGGUGCGAAAGCGUGGGGAGCAAACAGG
rnacentral:rRNA from 1 species